rnacentral:ribozyme from 1 species
UUGAAGAAGGCGUCCACAAUGGACAUUUUGGUGUGAUUUUUCUUAUGUUUUUUAUUUUUAAUAUUAUUAAUAUUAUUAAUAUUAUUAUU